rnacentral:rRNA from 1 species
UCGAGCGGCGAACGGGUGAGUAACACGUGAGCAACCUGCCCUAGGCUUUGGGAUAACCCUCGGAAACGGGGGCUAAUACCGAAUAUUCACUUGCGGGCGCAUGUUUGUGGGUGGAAAGUUUUUCGGCUUGGGAUGGGCUCGCGGCCUAUCAGCUUGUUGGUGGGGUGAUGGCCUACCAAGGCGACGACGGGUAGCCGGCCUGAGAGGGCGACCGGCCACACUGGGACUGAGACACGGCCCAGACUCCUACGGGAGGCAGCAGUGGGGAAUAUUGCACAAUGGGCGGAAGCCUGAUGCAGCGACGCCGCGUGAGGGAUGACGGCCUUCGGGUUGUAAACCUCUUUCAGCAGGGACGAAGCGCGAGUGACGGUACCUGCAGAAGAAGCGCCGGCCAACUACGUGCCAGCAGCCGCGGUAAGACGUAGGGCGCGAGCGUUGUCCGGAUUUAUUGGGCGUAAAGAGCUCGUAGGCGGCUUGUCGCGUCGACUGUGAAAACCCACGGCUCAACUGUGGGCUUGCAGUCGAUACGGGCAGGCUAGAGUUCGGUAGGGGAGACUGGAAUUCCUGGUGUAGCGGUGAAAUGCGCAGAUAUCAGGAGGAACACCGGUGGCGAAGGCGGGUCUCUGGGCCGAAACUGACGCU